GCAAGUCGAACGGUAACAGGUCUUCGGACGCUGACGAGUGGCGAACGGGUGAGUAAUACAUCGGAACGUGCCCAGUCGUGGGGGAUAACUACUCGAAAGAGUAGCUAAUACCGCAUACGAUCUGAGGAUGAAAGCGGGGGACCUUCGGGCCUCGCGCGAUUGGAGCGGCCGAUGGCAGAUUAGGUAGUUGGUGGGAUAAAAGCUUACCAAGCCGACGAUCUGUAGCUGGUCUGAGAGGACGACCAGCCACACUGGGACUGAGACACGGCCCAGACUCCUACGGGAGGCAGCAGUGGGGAAUUUUGGACAAUGGGCGAAAGCCUGAUCCAGCAAUGCCGCGUGCAGGAUGAAGGCCUUCGGGUUGUAAACUGCUUUUGUACGGAACGAAAAAGCUUCUCCUAAUACGAGAGGCCCAUGACGGUACCGUAAGAAUAAGCACCGGCUAACUACGUGCCAGCGGCCGCGGUAAUACGUAGGGUGCGAGCGUUAAUCGGAAUUACUGGGCGUAAAGCGUGCGCAGGCGGUUAUGUAAGACAGAUGUGAAAUCCCCGGGCUCAACCUGGGAACUGCAUUUGUGACUGCA
rnacentral:rRNA from 1 species